AACGAACGCUGGCGGCAUGCCUAACACAUGCAAGUCGAACGAGCCCUUCGGGUCUAGUCGCGCACGGGUGCGUCACGCGUGGGAACCUGCCCUUAGGUUCGGCAUAACUCCCCGAAUGGGGUGCUAAUACCGGAUAAUGUCUUCGGACCAAAGAUUUAUCGCCUUUGGAUGGGCCCGCGUUGGAUUAGCUAGUUGGUAGGGUAAAAGCCUACCAAGGCGACGAUCCAUAGCUGGUCUGAGAGGAUGAUCAGCCACACUGGGACUGAGACACGGCCCAGACUCCUACGGGAGGCAGCAGUGGGGAAUAUUGGACAAUGGGCGAAAGCCUGAUCCAGCAAUGCCGCGUGAGUGAUGAAGGCCUUAGGGUUGUAAAGCUCUUUUACCCGGGAUGAUAAUGACAGUACCGGGAGAAUAAGCUCCGGCUAACUCCGUG
rnacentral:rRNA from 1 species